GGUUCGCUGGCUCAAUGGCAGAGCGUCUGACUACGAACCAUCUCAAUAGUUAUCGCUUGAGAUCGGGUAAUCAGGAGGUUCCAGGUUCGACCCCUGGGUGUGCUU